UUAAGUUCAGCGGGUAUCCCUACCUGAUCCGAGGUCAAGCGUAAAAGUAUAGACUUGUGGACACGCCGCGCUCCCAGCGGAGAGCGCAAAUUGUGCUGCGCUCCCACGCGGGACGGCUGGCUGCCAAUGCAUUUGAGGCGAGUUCACGCGUGUAGCGGAACAAAACGCCCAACACCCAGCAGGGCUGGAGGGUACAAAUG
rnacentral:misc_RNA from 1 species